CUUUCUUCAAAGUAUGGUAACUAAUGAUGUUUUUUUCCGGUGGGGACGGGACUUUUAUUUUGACGUUAAAAAUGACUUCCGUUGUAUUUCCUUGUGUAUUAAUGCUGGGUCGUACCAAAUCGAAACGAAACCACAGUGCCACGAGAGCGCUAGCUCAGUCUGUAGCUCAGUCUGUAGCUAUGACGCGUCUAAACAGAUUACUCCAGUGCAACACGUCCUGACAGCUAGUUACUGCCCAUGCACACCACUAGGUGGCGGUAAACCAUUAAAACCCCCUCUUCUCCCUCCCCCUGAGAGCUACAUAAUGGAAUGAUCCAAACAGCUUAACGUGUUAAUGUGAUCGAAAAACACGAAUUAACCCGCGCCGUGUUAAUGUAAACUAUUAGAGGGGGAAAUCGUACAUGUAAACGAGAAAUUAUAUUUACGUUUUUAUGUAAAUUUAUAUGUAUGUAUUCUAACGAGUUUUAAUUCAUAGCUACAAGUUGUUUGACGCAAGAUGGGAUCCUUUGGAGUGACGUCCUGCCGUAGCCCCUCCCCACGUGACGCGUUAGCUCCACCCACAGGCCUCGUUUCCUGGGCGAUACUGCAUUAGUAUGGAGCUCACAGGAGAGUGGGCUAGGUGAUUAGCCGAGGGUAAAGUGUCAUUCACGUCACGCCUAGCUAGCGAUAUUAUUGUGACUUAUGUCUGUGUUUGUUCGUCGGGAUGAAACGAGGCAUCGAAUUUAUUGACCCGGAAUAUUGGAUCCCGGUCUGUGGAUAAAUCAUUCAUUAGUAGAGUCAUGGCCGGACUGAUCAAGAAGCAGAUCCUCAAGCAUCUUUCCAGGUUUGCUAAGAACCUAUCCCAGAUAAGAUCAACCUGAGCACGUUGAAGGGGGAGGGUCAGCUGACCAAUCUGGAGCUGGAUGAGGAGGUGCUGCAGAACAUGCUGGAUCUGCCACGUGGCUGGCCAUCAACAAGGUCUUCUGCAACAAGGCCACGAUCCGGGUGAGAAGUAGCUCCACUGCACUUACUGUAUCGCCCCAUGUCGGCCUCAUAUCGGCACGGCCUAUAGCCCCGUGUCAGCACGGUGUCAGC
ensembl:lncRNA